rnacentral:rRNA from 1 species
CCUACGGGUGGCAGCAGUGGGGGAUAUUGCACAAUGGGGGGAACCCUGAUGCAGCGACGCCGCGUGGGGGAAGAAGGGCCUCGGCGCGUAAAGCUCUGUCAGCAGGGAAGAAAGUGACGGUACCUGAAGAAGAAGCCCCGGCUAACUCCGUGCCAGCAGCCGCGGUAAUACGUAGGGGGCAAGCGUUAUCCGGAUUUACUGGGUGUAAAGGGGGCGCAGGCGGCGGUGCAAGCCAGGAGUGAAAGCCCGGGGCCCAACCCCGGGACUGCUCUUGGAACUGCGGGGCUGGAGUGCAGGAGGGGCAGGCGGAAUUUCUGGUGUAGCGGUGAAAUGCGUAGAUAUCAGGAAGAACACCGAUGGCGAAGGCGGCCUGCUGGACUGCAACUGACGUUGAGGCCCGAAAGCGUGGGGAGCAAACAGGAUUAGAUACCCGGGUAGUC